CUAAAACCAAAAUUUUGACAGGUUUUUGGAUUGAUUUUCCUACAAGCUCCGACCACUUUUUGGCCAUGACCCAAGAGCAGAAGUUGCUCCCCUAGUUGUCACGAACACAUAGGUGUAGGUAUUGUCUGGUGUUUCAAGAAUUUUUUGGUCAUUGAACGUGCUGCCUGUGCGUGAGGUGGCGCAUGGGCCAUGGGGUGGUGGCCCAUUUGGUUCUAGAAUGUUCCCCAUGUUGUCCCGAGCAUGAUGAUAAAAAGUCUAAUAGCAGCAAUGAAGUUCGUCCAGAAAUUUACGGAGAUAAAGGUCUCUCUGAUAUAUGAAUCGAAAUGGUAUGAUUUGAAAUGCACAUAUGGUUGUGUCAAAUUUCUGUGGAGGAAGAGCUUUGAAAGAGGCAACAAGCAUUAUUUAGUUUUUUUCAUUGCAGUGUUUGUAAUACUUUUGAGGUUGUGUGUAAACUUCUCUUCUAUUAAGAUGAGUAGUUGUUGGGGGCUUGUUGAUUUGAAUCAAAAAGAAAAUGCUACCUAUAUUCAGUGUGGAAAUAAUAAUGAUUAGAACUUUUUGGUUGAUGAUAGGAGUUUGUAUGCGGAAAAUAUGAAUAAUUUAUAUGCGGACAGUGAUGAUUUGUCAUGCAA